CCUACGGGAGGCAGCAGUGGGGAAUCUUGCGCAAUGGGCGAAAGCCUGACGCAGCAACGCCGCGUGCGGGAUGAAUGCCUUCGGGUUGUAAACCGCUUUCAGCAGGGACGAAAAUGACGGUACCUGCAGAAGAAGCCCCGGCUAACUACGUGCCAGCAGCCGCGGUAAUACGUAGGGGGCAAGCGUUGUCCGGAUUUAUUGGGCGUAAAGAGCUCGUAGGCGGUUCCGUAAGUCGAGUGUGAAAAAUCUGGGCUCAACCCAGUGGAGCACUCGAUACUGCGGUGACUAGAGUACGGUAGAGGAGUGUGGAAUUCCUGGUGUAGCGGUGAAAUGCGCAGAUAUCAGGAGGAACACCAACGGCGAAGGCAGCACUCUGGGCCGGUACUGACGCUGAGGAGCGAAAGCGUGGGGAGCAAACAGGAUUAGAUACCCUGGUAGUCCACGCCGUAAACGUUGGGCACUAGGUGUGGGAGGGAAUCAACCCCUUCCGUGCCGUAGCUAACGCAUUAAGUGCCCCGCCUGGGGAGUACGGCCGCAAGGCUAAAACUCAAAGGAAUUGACGG
rnacentral:rRNA from 1 species